GAUGAACGCUAGCGGCAGGCCUAAUACAUGCAAGUCGGACGGGAUCCAUCGGAGAGCUUGCUCGAAGAUGGUGAGAGUGGCGCACGGGUGCGUAACGCGUGAGUAACCUACCUCUAUCAGGUGGAUAGCCUCUCGAAAGAGAGAUUAACACCGCAUAAUAUAAUCUUCCGGCAUCGUUAGAUUAUUAAAUAUUUAUAGGAUAGAGAUGGGCUCGCGUGACAUUAGCUAGUUGGUAAGGUAACGGCUUACCAAGGCGACGAUGUCUAGGGGCUCUGAGAGGAGAAUCCCCCACACUGGUACUGAGACACGGACCAGACUCCUACGGGAGGCAGCAGUAAGGAAUAUUGGUCAAUGGGCGGAAGCCUGAACCAGCCAUGCCGCGUGCAGGACGACUGCCCUAUGGGUUGUAAACUGCUUUUGUCCAGGAAUAAACCUAAAUACGUGUAUUUAGCUGAAUGUACUGGAAGAAUAAGGAUCGGCUAACUCCGUGCCAGCCGCCGCAGUAAGAC
rnacentral:rRNA from 1 species